ensembl:lncRNA
GGGAGGCUCUGCUGACUAAUUCGGUCCAAGCAGAGCUUCCUGCCCAUCUCCUAGGAUCCUCUGCUUGGCCUGCACCUACUCAGAAGCCUUCAAGAUACAAAGCUCUUUGAAAGCAGAUCUCAUUGAAUCUUUCCAUCAAUGUGAGAGGGUGCCACAGUGACUCAGGACUUGGAUGCAAGCCUCCCUAAAUCUCCCUGCCUUAAAUGUCAUGGUGACGCUCACCCUGGAUUCCAUGACAACAGCCUCUUCUCUCAGAGUGAUGCAGCCACCCUUGUGGCUGUUCAGCAUACAACAGAAUCCAGAGAAGGGACUUCCCUGGCCGUCCAGUGAUUUGGACUCCGCGCUUCCAUUCCAGGGGGCACAGAUUCGAUCCCGUCAAGGAACUAAGAUCCUGCGUACUAUACGGUGCAGCCAAAAGAGAAGUAGAAGAAAAUCCAAAGAAGAUAAGGGCCUUACCUGCACAUAGCCUCACCACCAAAAUGCCCCUUCCCUGCCAUUCUGAAGGAACUGGAGUCAGGCAUAAAAGCACGUUUCUGCAAGGGCCUAUGGGGAUUUUCCAGAAAGACUCCAUUCAGCUGGAGAAUUCCAUUCCUGGCCCUGCCACCCAGGGCUCAGGCUAAGGAGAGAUGCUCCGGCUCAUUCCGGUUCUGCCCAGUUCUUGCUCCUUGCCUGCCAAACCCACAUCAGGGUGUCCCACACUGUAAUCUCUUGCUGUUUUCUGUGGAGUGUGAGGUGCCUGAGGAUCCAAGGGGUCCCUCAGAGGCCUGACACAGAACAGUGAGGGGCCCUCUCCUGACCCCCCUCCCCAUCCCUUCCUGGGCCCUCCCUUUCCUUCACCCAGCAUGUUUUAGCAUUUUCCCUGGAGCCAGCCCCUGCCCUCAGGGUCACCCUGGAUGAACACGGACAAACCAAUACAAUGGACACUGAUUUGGGGCACAGAUGGCACCUGACACAGCUUGGGGGUGGGUAUGACAAAGGCAGCUGGAGAGGGGAAGUGGAGCCAGCUUGCGACAACUGCCUGGACAGAAGCUCAGAGCUUUGGGAUGUACUGUUACGUUUCCGAGAAACUGGAGAACAGGUCUGAGGGAGUCAGAUGGACACUGAGGUCCAAAUAGGAGCUGAACUGAACUCAUGCAUUGUAUCUACUUAGCUGGAGUUGGACCCCAAUUCCCUUCCCACUCCAGCCUCUCCCCUCCACAGCUACCCCCACAAAGGUUUUCCCUGGGUUUAGCCAGAAACAGGAGGCGUCUUCUCAGAAGUCCCAGCUGGCAAAUAGGAAUCUCAAGACAUAACAGAGCAUUAGACCUGGGCCCCGGGGGCACCCAACUCAACACAUCACAAGGGAUAUUCCACCUCUGGGAUAUUCCUGCACCCAUGAAAUGCAUUUUCUGCUCACAAAGACUCCUGGGGAGCAACACUCAGAUCUGCUGGGAGCAAAGCACUUGCAGGGUCCCAGCUGGGUUCUGGGGACCCCCAGACCCAUUCUGCCAUUAUAUUACAAUUUCAGCCCAGCACCUGCACUCUGUCCAGCUUCAGCCACGUCUCUGCCCCUCGUGAGGGGGAACGUGUUCCCCCUCCACCCGUACGCUGGUGCCAAGGUUUAUGAUCCGGCACAGAAGACACUGAGAGCCACACGGGUGGAAAAAGUUACCCGGUUCUAAAUCAGCCAGUCUUUGGA